UACGGGGGGUGCAAGCGUUGUUCGGAAUUAUUGGGCGUAAAGAGCGCGUAGGCGGCUUGAUAAGUCAGAUGUGAAAGCCCUGGGCUUAACCUAGGAAGUGCAUUUGAAACUGUCUAGCUAGAGUAAUGGAGGGGGAAGUGGAAUUCCUGGUGUAGAGGUGAAAUUCGUAGAUAUCAGGAGGAACACCGGUGGCGAAGGCGACUUCCUGGCCCUAUACUGACGCUGAGACGCGAGAGCGUGGGUAG
rnacentral:rRNA from 1 species